UACGUAGGGGGCGAGCGUUGUCCGGAUUCAUUGGGCGUAAAGAGCUCGUAGGCGGUUCGGUAAGUCAGGUGUGAAAACUCCAGCUCAACUUGGAGACGCCACCUGAUACUGUCGUGACUAGAGUCCGGUAGGGGAGCAUUGGAAUUCCUGGUGUAGCGGUGAAAUGCGCAGAUAUCAGGAGGAACACCAGCGGCGAAGGCGGUGCUCUGGGCCGGAACUGACGCUGAGGUGCGAAAGCGUGGGUAGCAAACAGG
rnacentral:rRNA from 1 species